rnacentral:rRNA from 1 species
AAUAGAUACCCGGGUAGUCCACGCCGUAAACGAUGAAUACUAGGUGUGGGGGUUUCAACACCUCCGUGCCGCCGCUAACGCAUUAAGUAUUCCGCCUGGGGAGUACGGUCGCAAGAUUAAAACUCAAAGGAAUUGACGGGGACCCGCACAAGUAGCGGAGCAUGUGGUUUAAUUCGAAGCAACGCGAAGAACCUUACCUACACUUGACAUCCCUUGCAUUACUCUUAAUCGAGGAAAUCCCUUCGGGGACAAGGUGACAGGUGGUGCAUGGUUGUCAUCAGCUCGUGUCGUGAGAUGUUGGGUUAAGUCCCGCAACGAGCGCAACCCUUGUCGUUAGUUACUACCAUUAAGUUGAGGACUCUGGCGAGACUGCCUGGGUUAACCAGGAGGAAGGUGGGAUGACGUCAAAUCAUCAUGCCCCUUAUGUGUAGGGCUACACACGUGCUACAAUGGCUGGUACAGAGAGAUGCAAUACCGCGAGGUGGAGCCAAACUUAAAACCAGUCUCAGUUCGGAUUGUAGGCUGAAACUCGCCUACA